UGGGGAAUUUUGCACAAUGGGGGAAACCCUGAUGCAGCGACGCCGCGUGAUUUAGAAGGCCUUCGGGUUGUAAAAAUCUUUUCUAUGGGAAGAAAAUGACAGUACCAUAGGAAUAAGGACCGGCUAAUUACGUGCCAGCAGCCGCGGUAAUACGUAAGGUCCGAGCGUUGUCCGGAAUCAUUGGGCGUAAAGGGUACGUAGGCGGGUAAGCAAGUUAGAAGUGAAAUCCUAUAGCUCAACUAUAGUAAGCUUUUAAAACUGCUCAUCUUGAGGUAUGGAAGGGAAAGUGGAAUUCCUAGUGUAGCGGUGAAAUGCGCAGAUAUUAGGAGGAAUACCGGUGGCGAAGGCGACUUUCUGGCCAUAACCUGACGUUGAGGUACGAAAGCGUGGGUAGCAAACAGG
rnacentral:rRNA from 1 species